UUCAUCAUGUUUUUUCCCCUGAGUUUUGUGAUUUAUUUUUCACCCUUUAAAACAGAACCUUUGCAUGAAAAUCAGUGGAUGGAAAGCUGCUAUAAAGGGAGAAGCAUCUUUGUCCCUGAGAGCAACUGUAUUGGGAGUGGUUUAAUGCGUGGGAAGGACUCCAGAUCACUUCUUGCCCUAUCACAAGCACUUUUGUGAGAAUCCAUCAUAUUUCCAGUCAUUCGAAGAAAUCUCUUGGGA
rnacentral:lncRNA from 12 species